rnacentral:rRNA from 1 species
GUGGGGAAUAUUGGACAAUGGGCGAAAGCCUGAUCCAGCAAUGCCGCGUGCAGGAUGAAGGCCUUCGGGUUGUAAACUGCUUUUGUACGGAACGAAAAGCUUCGGGUUAAUACCCUGGAGUCAUGACGGUACCGUAAGAAUAAGCACCGGCUAACUACGUGCCAGCAGCCGCGGUAAUACGUAGGGUGCAAGCGUUAAUCGGAAUUACUGGGCGUAAAGCGUGCGCAGGCGGUCUUGUAAGACAGAGGUGAAAUCCCCGGGCUCAACCUGGGAACUGCCUUUGUGACUGCAAGGCUGGAGUGUGGCAGAGGGGGAUGGAAUUCCACGUGUAGCAGUGAAAUGCGUAGAGAUGUGGAGGAACACCGAUGGCGAAGGCAGCCCCCUGGGCCAAUACUGACGCUCAUGCACGAAAGCGUGGGGAGCAAACAGGAUUAGAAACCCGAGUAGUCC